UACGUAGGGUGCAAGCGUUAAUCGGAAUUACUGGGCGUAAAGCGUGCGCAGGCGGUUAUGCAAGACAGAGGUGAAAUCCCCGGGCUCAACCUGGGAACUGCCUUUGUGACUGCAUGACUAGAGUACGGUAGAGGGGGAUGGAAUUCCGCGUGUAGCAGUGAAAUGCGUAGAUAUGCGGAGGAACACCGAUGGCGAAGGCAAUCCCCUGGACCUGUACUGACGCUCAU
rnacentral:rRNA from 1 species